rnacentral:tRNA from 1 species
GCCCUCAUGGCUCAGGGGUAGAGCGUCGCACUCGUACUUCGAGUACAUGCGAAGGUCCGUCGUUCAAAUCGGCGUGAGGGCA